rnacentral:misc_RNA from 1 species
GGCAAUAUGCAGACUUACCUUCAAUCUCUAACUAUAAGGCUUGAGGAAAUGAGGGUGAAAAGGCGUGAUUCAGAGCAGUGGAUGCAUCACCGAUUGCUGCCGCAGGAUCUUCGGGAGAGAGUCAGGCGUUAUGAUCAGUACAAGUGGUUGGAAACCCGUGGGGUGGAUGAACAGAGUUUGGUUCAAACUCUACCUAAGGAUCUUAGGAGAGAUAUUAAGCGGCAUCUUUGUCUGGCUUUAGUAAGAAGGGUUCCUCUGUUUGAAAACAUGGACGAGAGGCUGCUUGAUGCUAUCUGUGAGCGGCUGAAACCUUGUUUGUUUACGGAGUACACUUACAUAGUGCGUGAGGGUGAUCCAGUUGAUGAGAUGCUUUUCAUUAUCCGUGGUCGGCUUGAGAGUGUGACUACAGAUGGCGGGCGGAGUGGAUUUUUCAACCGUUCCUUUCUGAAAGAAGGUGAUUUUUGUGGUGAAGAGCUUUUGACCUGGGCUUUGGAUCCGAAAUCUGGUUCAAAUCUUCCAUCUUCUACAAGGACGGUGAAGGCUAUUACAGAGGUUGAGGCUUUUGCCCUUGUUGCUGAAGAGUUGAAAUUUGUGGCCAGUCAGUUCAGGCGCCUUCACAGUAGACAGGUGCAACAUACCUUCCGAUUCUACUCGCAGCAAUGGAGGACCUGGGCUGCCUGCUUCAUCCAAGCGGCAUGGCGCCGAUAUUCCAAGAGAAAGUCUAUGGAACUUCGUCAAAAGGAAGAAGUUGCAGCAGAAGAAUCUGAGGGAUCUCAUACUGCCACAAGUGGAGGCUCUUAUAGUAUUCGUGCAACUUUCUUAGCUUCCAAAUUUGCUGCCAAUGCUCUCCGGGGGGUUCAGCGAUACCGGAAUGCAAAGAGCGCUCAGGAAUUAAUAAAAUUGCAGAAGCCUCCAGAGCCAGAUUUUAGCGCUGAUGAUGCAGAUUGACCCUAUUAUGUAUUGUGACAAAAAUUGAAUGCAUUAUUACCUG